ACCCGGAGAACUGAAACAUCUUAGUACCCGGAGGAAGAGAAAGAAAAUUCGAUUCCCUUAGUAGCGGCGAGCGAAACGGGAAGAGCCCAAACCAACAAGCUUGCUUGUUGGGGUUGUAGGACACUCUAUACGGAGUUACAAAGGACGACAUUAGACGAAUCAUCUGGAAAGAUGAAUCAAAGAAGGUAAUAAUCCUGUAGUCGAAAAUGUUGUCUCUCUUGAGUGGAUCCUGAGUACGACGGAGCACGUGAAAUUCCGUCGGAAUCUGGGAGGACCAUCUCCUAAGGCUAAAUACUCUCUAGUGACCGAUAGUGAACCAGUACCGUGAGGGAAAGGUGAAAAGCACCCCGGAAGGGGAGUGAAAUAGAACCUGAAACCGUGUGCUUACAAGUAGUCAGAGCCCGUUAAUGGGUGAUGGCGUGCCUUUUGUAGAAUGAACCGGCGAGUUACGAUUUGAUGCAAGGUUAAGCAGUAAAUGUGGAGCCGUAGCGAAAGCGAGUCUGAAUAGGGCGUUUAGUAUUUGGUCGUAGACCCGAAACCAGGUGAUCUACCCUUGGUCAGGUUGAAGUUCAGGUAACACUGAAUGGAGGACCGAACCGACUUACGUUGAAAAGUGAGCGGAUGAACUGAGGGUAGCGGAGAAAUUCCAAUCGAACCUGGAGAUAGCUGGUUCUCUCCGAAAUAGCUUUAGGGCUAGCCUCAAGUGAUGAUUAUUGGAGGUAGAGCACUGUUUGGACGAGGGGCCCCUCUCGGGUUACCGAAUUCAGACAAACUCCGAAUGCCAAUUAAUUUAACUUGGGAGUCAGAACAUGGGUGAUAAGGUCCGUGUUCGAAAGGGAAACAGCCCAGACCACCAGCUAAGGUCCCAAAAUAUAUGUUAAGUGGAAAAGGAUGUGGCGUUGCCCAGACAACUAGGAUGUUGGCUUAGAAGCAGCCAUCAUUUAAAGAGUGCGUAAUAGCUCACUAGUCGAGUGACACUGCGCCGAAAAUGUACCGGGGCUAAACAUAUUACCGAAGCUGUGGAUUGUCCUUUGGACAAUGGUAGGAGAGCGUUCUAAGGGCGUUGAAGCAUGAUCGUAAGGACAUGUGGAGCGCUUAGAAGUGAGAAUGCCGGUGUGAGUAGCUAAAGACGGGUGAGAAUCCCGUCCACCGAUUGACUAAGGUUUCCAGAGGAAGGCUCGUCCGCUCUGGGUUAGUCGGGUCCUAAGCUGAGGCCGACAGGCGUAGGCGAUGGAUAACAGGUUGAUAUUCCUGUACCACCUAUAAUCGUUUUAAUCGAUGGGGGGACGCAGUAGGAUAGGCGAAGCGUGCGAUUGGAUUGCACGUCUAAGCAGUAAGGCUGAGUAUUAGGCAAAUCCGGUACUCGUUAAGGCUGAGCUGUGAUGGGGAGAAGACAUUGUGUCUUCGAGUCGUUGAUUUCACACUGCCGAGAAAAGCCUCUAGAUAGAAAAUAGGUGCCCGUACCGCAAACCGACACAGGUAGUCAAGAUGAGAAUUCUAAGGUGAGCGAGCGAACUCUCGUUAAGGAACUCGGCAAAAUGACCCCGUAACUUCGGGAGAAGGGGUGCUCUUUAGGGUUAACGCCCAGAAGAGCCGCAGUGAAUAGGCCCAAGCGACUGUUUAUCAAAAACACAGGUCUCUGCUAAACCGUAAGGUGAUGUAUAGGGGCUGACGCCUGCCCGGUGCUGGAAGGUUAAGAGGAGUGGUUAGCUUCUGCGAAGCUACGAAUCGAAGCCCCAGUAAACGGCGGCCGUAACUAUAACGGUCCUAAGGUAGCGAAAUUCCUUGUCGGGUAAGUUCCGACCCGCACGAAAGGCGUAACGAUUUGGGCACUGUCUCAACGAGAGACUCGGUGAAAUCAUAGUACCUGUGAAGAUGCAGGUUACCCGCGACAGGACGGAAAGACCCCGUGGAGCUUUACUGUAGCCUGAUAUUGAAAUUCGGCACAGCUUGUACAGGAUAGGUAGGAGCCUUUGAAACGUGAGCGCUAGCUUACGUGGAGGCGCUGGUGGGAUACUACCCUAGCUGUGUUGGCUUUCUAACCCGCACCACUUAUCGUGGUGGGAGACAGUGUCAGGCGGGCAGUUUGACUGGGGCGGUCGCCUCCUAAAAGGUAACGGAGGCGCUCAAAGGUUCCCUCAGAAUGGUUGGAAAUCAUUCAUAGAGUGUAAAGGCAUAAGGGAGCUUGACUGCGAGACCUACAAGUCGAGCAGGGUCGAAAGACGGACUUAGUGAUCCGGUGGUUCCGCAUGGAAGGGCCAUCGCUCAACGGAUAAAAGCUACCCCGGGGAUAACAGGCUUAUCUCCCCCAAGAGUUCACAUCGACGGGGAGGUUUGGCACCUCGAUGUCGGCUCAUCGCAUCCUGGGGCUGUAGUCGGUCCCAAGGGUUGGGCUGUUCGCCCAUUAAAGCGGUACGCGAGCUGGGUUCAGAACGUCGUGAGACAGUUCGGUCCCUAUCCGUCGUGGGCGUAGGAAAUUUGAGAGGAGCUGUCCUUAGUACGAGAGGACCGGGAUGGACAUACCUCUGGUGUACCAGUUGUCGUGCCAACGGCAUAGCUGGGUAGCUAUGUGUGGACGGGAUAAGUGCUGAAAGCAUCUAAGCAUGAAGCCCCCCUCAAGAUGAGAUUUCCCAACUUCGGUUAUAAGAUCCCUCAAAGAUGAUGAGGUUAAUAGGUUCGAGGUGGAAGCAUGGUGACAUGUGGAGCUGACGAAUACUAAUCGAUCGAAGACUUAAUCAA
rnacentral:rRNA from 1 species